GUCUGUCUCAAUGAAGAUAUUGGUUGUGCAGUACUUGCGAGUAAAGUGGUGGAGAGUAUCAUUCCAUUAAUUCAUCAUCCUUUGUACCAUCUGGUUCAUCAUUAACUGUAGCCUGAUUGAUAAUUUCUUCAAGAUGGAAAGUCUCAUUUGUUAUCAAUUGGUUGUCAAUGGAUAUACAUCAUUUUUAUUGGUUCAUUAAAUGGGAGUUUUUCAAUUUAAAUGGCACGAAAAGCCAGAAAAAAGAACCCAUUAUGUGAUGGGAUAAUGUUUAAAACAAUAGCUUACUAGGCGUGUUUUUUAAAAUACCUACAGGUAUCCAGAAAUGGAAAAAAUAAACGCAUUAUGUGGGAACAUCUGAACGAGGUUUUUCUAUACUUAAAAAAAUAUAGUUUAAAAUCAAAAAUCACAAAAAUAUUUUGAAGAUUGCGAAACGCUUAGAAACAGUUAAU